rnacentral:rRNA from 1 species
GAUGAACGCUGGCGGCGUGCCUAAUACAUGCAAGUCGAGCGAACGGACGAGAAGCUUGCUUUUCUGAUGUUAGCGGCGGACGGGUGAGUAACACGUGGAUAACCUACCUAUAAGACUGGGAUAACUUCGGGAAACCGGAGCUAAUACCGGAUAAUAUUUUGAACCGCAUGGUUCAAAAGUGAAAGACGGUCUUGCUGUCACUUAUAGAUGGAUCCGCGCUGCAUUAGCUAGUUGGUAAGGUAACGGCUUACCAAGGCAACGAUGCAUAGCCGACCUGAGAGGGUGAUCGGCCACACUGGAACUGAGACACGGUCCAGACUCCUACGGGAGGCAGCAGUAGGGAAUCUUCCGCAAUGGGCGAAAGCCUUACGGAGCAACGCCGCGUGAGUGAUGAAGGUCUUCGGAUCGUAAAACUCUGUUAUUAGGGAAGAACACAUGUGUAAGUAACUGUGCACAUCUUGACGGUACCUAAUCAGAAAGCCACGGCUAACUACGUG